UGGUGGAGUGAUUUGUCUGGUUAAUUCCGUUAACGAACGAGACCCCGCCUGCUAACUAGUCGUACCAAUGCCUAGCCUUGGUUUCGGCUUCUUAGAGGGACUUUCGGUGACUAAUCGAAGGAAGUUGGGGCAAUAACA
rnacentral:rRNA from 1 species